rnacentral:rRNA from 1 species
ACACGACUACAUUAGAUACCCCGGUAGUCCUAGCCGUAAACGAUACUCGCUAGGUGUCGGCCACGGUGCGACCGUUGUCGGUGCCGUAGGGAAGCUGUGAAGCGAGCCACCUGGGAAGUACGGCCGCAAGGCUGAAACUUAAAGGAAUUGGCGGGGAGCACCACAACGGGUGGAGCUUGCGGUUUAAUUGGAUUCAACGCCGGAAAUCUUACCGGGACCGACAGCAACAUGAAGGCCAGGCUGAAGACUUUGCCGGAUUAGCUG